rnacentral:rRNA from 1 species
UACGUAGGGGGCAAGCGUUGUCCGGAAUCAUUGGGCGUAAAGAUCGUGUAGGCGGCCAGAAAAGUCCGCUGUGAAAACUCGAGGCUCAACUUCGAGCUGUCGGUGGAAACUUUCUGGCUAGAGUCCGGAAGAGGAGAAUGGAAUUCCUGGUGUAGCGGUGAAAUGCGCAGAUAUCAGGAAGAACACCCGUGGCGAAGGCGGUUCUCUGGGACGGUACUGACGCUGAGACGCGAAAGCGUGGGGAGCGAACAGG